UACAGAGGGUGCAAGCGUUGUUCGGAAUUAUUGGGCGUAAAGAGCUCGUAGGCGGUCUGUCGCGUCUGCUGUGAAAUCCCGAGGCUCAACCUCGGGCCUGCAGUGGGUACGGGCAGACUAGAGUGCGGUAGGGGAGAUUGGAAUUCCUGGUGUAGCGGUGGAAUGCGCAGAUAUCAGGAGGAACACCGAUGGCGAAGGCAGAUCUCUGGGCCGUAACUGACGCUGAGGAGCGAAAGCGUGGGGAGCGAACAGG
rnacentral:rRNA from 1 species